rnacentral:rRNA from 1 species
GACGAACGCUGGCGGCGUGCUUAACACAUGCAAGUCGAACGGAAAGGCCUCUUUCGGGGGGUCCUCGAGUGGCGAACGGGUGAGUAACACGUGAGUAACCUGCACUUGACUUUGGGAUAACUUCAGGAAACUGGGGCUAAUACCGGAUAGGAGAUCCUGCUGCCUGGUGGGGGUUGGAAAGUUUCGGCGGUUGGGGGUGGGAUCGCGGCGUAUCCGCUUGUUGGGGGGGUAGUGGGUUACGACGGCUUUGACGGGUAGCCGGACUUUGCGGGUGAGCGGCGACAUUGACACUGAGAGGCGGCACAGACUCCGACGGGAGGCAGCAGUGGGGAAGAUUGCACCAGCGGUGGCGGCCGGAUGCAGCAGGGCCUCGGGCGGUAUGACCGCUUUCGUGUGGUAGACCGCUAGCGCUCAUGUCGCAGCUUUGUGUGACGGUAGUGGGUAAAUAAGCACCGGCUAACUACGUG